CUUUGGUCGUCCAGCCUUAGGUGAUUUCUCUGAUCAUAAAGCUAGACAACCAUUGAA
rnacentral:pre_miRNA from 1 species